AGGAGGUGCUGCAGUGAAGAAAAUUAGACAAACUUUGGCUCCAGCCACAAAGAAGCAAACUAUUGAAAACGGGAGGGAGUGUGUCCUCAGGGCACUACCUUUUUACCUGAAUGAAGACCCAAGCAUCCUCUUCAAAGAAUAAUUGCUACAGCUACAGCUGUUCAGAGGGAGCUGGAACAAAUUACCCUUGCUAUCUUCACCAUUGAAAAAGCUGAUGUCAGCACUCCUCCAGCCGAUGUGGGUAUAACCAUCUAGGGUGUUCUGCAUGACCUGGAAAACAUGGCCUCUGCAUGUGCACUCUUAAUGGGUGGGAUAUAUGCACUGAAUCUCAGUUAACCUCGAGACUGAAAGCUUUCUUUGAAGUACUUCAGAAGCUCUUCCUUCAUCUGUAUGUCAGCAGACUCUUGACCAAGGUACAGAUACUCAAGAAUAAACUGAACGAAUAAGCCAAUC